UAACCAUUAUUUUAAUUAUUGUUGUUUUAUACUUCGUUCUUUUUUCAAUAGGAGAGAAGUUUUAGGUUCAGCAACAUGCGAACUAAUCAGAAGCUUCUCCAUACUGUUUAUCCACGUUUGGCUUAUGAAAUGAAGAAAAAGAAUCUACAUUUAAAAGGGUUAAGAACAGAAGUAUGAAAAUAUGGACAUCUCAGAAAAGAUGGAAAACCAAUUAAUGAAGCAGUUGCCGAAACAUUGAAAAAGAUUAAAGAUUGUGCCACAUCAAUUUUCGAUACGCCUGCUGAAGAUUCCAUCCGUGAUGAUGCUAUAGCUUGAGUUUUUGGUCCCCGAACAUCAUGGGAGAGUCAGGGGACUCGAAUUUGGAGUUGUACCAUCAAAAGUGGAUGGACAAAUACAAAGUAGGGAGAGUUAGAGAACUUGAAAGCCAAGUACAGAUUCAGACACAAAAGAUGGGGGCAUUAGAAGAAA